UACGGAGGGUGCAAGCGUUAUCCGGAUUCACUGGGUUUAAAGGGUGCGUAGGUGGAUUAGUAAGUCAGUGGUGAAAUCUCCGGGCUUAACCCGGAAACUGCCAUUGAUACUAUAUAUCUUGAAUGUUGUGGAGGUAAGCGGAAUAUGUCAUGUAGCGGUGAAAUGCUUAGAUAUGACAUAGAACACCUAUUGCGAAGGCAGCUUACUACGCAGAUAUUGACGCUCAUGCACGAAAGCGUGGGGAUCAAACAGG
rnacentral:rRNA from 1 species